rnacentral:rRNA from 1 species
UACGUAGGGUGCAAGCGUUAUUCGGAAUUACUGGGCGUAAAGCGUGCGCAGGCGGUUUUGUAAGACAGAUGUGAAAUGCCCGGGCUUAACCUGGGAACUGCAUUUGUGACUGCAUGGCUAGAGUUUGGCAGAGGGGGGUAGAAUUCCACGUGUAGCAGUGAAAUGCGUAGAUAUGUGGAGGAACACCGAUGGCGAAGGCAGCCCCCUGGGUCAAGACUGACGCUCAUGCACGAAAGCGUGGGGAGCAAACAGG